GACAGAGGGGGCAAGCGUUGCUCGGAAUCACUGGGCGUAAAGGGCGCGUAGGCGGGAUGGCAAGUCAGUCGUGAAAUCUCUCGGCUCAACCGAGAAACGUCGGCUGAUACUGCCGUUCUUGAGGGAUGCAGAGGAGACUGGAAUUCCCGGUGUAGCGGUGAAAUGUGUAGAGAUGUGGAGGAACACCAGUGGCGAAGGCGACUCUUUGGCCUGUAACUGACGCUGAGGCGCGAAAGCGUGGGGAGCAAACAGG
rnacentral:rRNA from 1 species